rnacentral:rRNA from 1 species
UACGGAGGGUGCGAGCGUUGUCCGGAAUCAUUGGGCGUAAAGGGCGCGUAGGUGGCCCGGUCAGUUCGUGGUGAAAGCGCGGGGCUCAACCCUGCGUCGGCCAUGAAUACUGCCGCGGCUGGAGCACUGUAGAGGCAGGCGGAAUUCCGGGUGUAGCGGUGGAAUGCGUAGAGAUCAAGAGGAACACUCGUGGCGAAAGCGAGCUACUGGACAAUUCCUGACGCUGAGGCUCGAAGGCUAGGGUAGCGAAAGGG